GUCCUAUCACUGGUUACACGAGAGAAGAGGCUGACCCCCAGCUCACUACAAACUCCCUUCAGAUAGUUAUAGGUAGUUAUUUAUAUAUGAUUUAUGAUUUGUCUUCUUCCCUUUACCUGUGGAAAUGUGAUCAGCUGGACUAUAGCUAGAGCACUAUGUUCUUCUCAAACAUCAAACAUACAAAAACUGAAAAUGUCAAAAGCAAGCCUUCCCCUUCCAAGUAAACACCAAUCCAACUGCGCUGCACAAACCUUUCUGCAGUCAGAUAAUUUACUGCCAGCAACGUUCAGCCCUUUUUUAUUCAGUCCUGUGGACCUCUGCAUAGAGCUGUUCUAUCUACUAACUCAACAGACAUCACAGAGGUUUAGGUGGUGAAAGAGGCUUGGUGCUACUCUGCCACAGCAGGGAGAAGAUAUUUCUUCUGGGCACAUUACCUCAGGUGUCCUUCACAUGACUUCCAUGUAAGCUAUUUCAUACACGUUAGAAAAAGUAUUUUCACUACUGUUUCCCCAUCCUCAUAUCAAGAACACAGAAUAAUUAACUGCAGUUACGGGUAACACAAUCAAAUGGAAGUGUAUUUUUAUUACUGGAGAAGAUUUAAAUAGGCUCACCUGAUUGCCUUCUGCAGCAUUAAUCACCUGCAUGACAAAACAAACCAGGAUAUCACUGAUCUGCUGCUAAGAUCUGCCAAAGAGUAGUGCGUCUCUCUUUGCAUACCUCUCAGUGACAGUCGAGGUCCUACAUUUUUUCCCCAUAAAUGAAAAUUCUAUUUACCUGUUCCAAAUAGGAAUAAAUUUAUAAAUUUAAAAAUAAUAAAUAAAAUAAAGUCAGUAAAUUUGUUUGGUAACGUUGCAUGCUGUAUAAACUCUGACAGUAUCAUUUCUGAUUUGUACUUGCAAAAUGUGUUUUACAUAUUCCUGAAUUUUUGUUGGUUUUUUUUCCUUUCCUGACAUAGCAGUAAAAUUUACAGUAAACACAAAAGAUUUCUCUAUGUAUAAAUAUGAUAACCAAUAUUUGAAUCUUUUUCCUAUGUAUAACAUUUAGAUAUGUAAUAACAUACAUAAGUCACAUUGUUAGUAAUCAGCUUUUGUUAAAACUUCCUUUUUGGCUUUUCUUAAUAUGAAUUUAUUAAUAUAUUAUUUCUUUUUCUUGGCAUUAAGUGUUGCCAGUGUACAUUGCACUGCAUAAUAUAUACUGAAAAUCACAGCACUUAAGGGCCUAAUUUGGAGAUCUAAGUAGUAAGUAGAUGGACUUUCUAUAUGAAGUAGAUUUCAUUUAAAACAGUGAAGAUUCUGAAACGUAUUGAGAAUUCUUUAAAUAAGUAUUGUGUAGUAAUAUUAAGUUCAUAUAAAUCAAGUCUUAUGGCCUGGGCUUAAAGACACGUUUAGAGAAGCAGAGAGCCUAAAGCAAGAAAUUGUCUUUAAAUGAUAAAUCUAGGUUUUCUUUGCUUUUGUCCAGACUGAGAAAGAAGUUUGAAGAGUAGUUUCUAGAGAAUACCUGGUCCCAGACCUGCUCACAGUUCAUCUUCUCUCUUGACAGAGCUAACAACACUCCAGCAAGGCUACUCCUCUCCACAGCUGCCCAGAAUUAGGCUUCCUCUGUAUCCCAGUCUUCCCUUCCACAGAUUAGCAUGUUGUUAUCCACCACAGAUCAAGACAUGUUUCUGUCAAAGGACUCCAUAAUCCAUUCCUACAGAAAACCAUGCAUCAAGUUCGCAGGAUGAGGUUCUGAUAGAUGAAGCACUCACUUACAUGGUGACAAGUAGAAAUGGUUAUAUAAAAUGAAAUAUCAUUUAAGCAAGUGAGUAAUCCAAUCCAUUUUAAACACAGUCCUUAAUGGGGAGGAUGGGGGGCACCUUAAAUGUAAGCAGAUGAAUAAUCCAAUCCCUGUUGUGCUGGCAAUACGUAUAUUUAAACACAUUAUUUUAAGUGUCUAGGAGGCCAACAAAACCAACUUUCCAUACUAUUUAUGCCUACUGUACCCAGCCAGCUUGCAGGGCAUCAUCAAAAACUACUCUGCUGACAUCAGUAGUGUUUGGUUUUGGCCCCUUAUACAAUUUAACACUGACAAUCGUAGAGUGAAAGUGAGUUUAGCAUCAAAUUUAUUCUUGAUUGGAAAACAUGCACAACAAAUGUAAUUACUGCACAAGAAAAAGUAUGCCUGAGAUGGACUCCAUAGAGAGGAUGUGGUCACAAGGGCUCUCUUGAGCAAGAACACUGUGGUGCCCAGCUUUAUAAGCUGUUUUGGCACAUGCCCUUGACACCUCAUGCUGAAACACAGCUCCUGCCCUCUGAGAUCAUUCUCCUCCACCAGGACAAAUCCCAGGGCCUACCUGCUGCCUGCUAUCCAGAGAAAAAGGCAUAGUUCAGGAUCCUGCAACACAGGAACAGCAAACCUGCUAGUUUGCAGCACCAACCAUUUCUCCAUUUCACUGAAACUCCUAAAUUACCACAAUAUAAUAUACGCCUUUCUCUUUUAAGUCCUGAAACUUCAUUUUGCCCUGCUUUGAUACGUCACCCUUCUCUACGCAUUACUGGGAUGCCCUGGAUCUGCAGCGCACCUCACUGUAGGGAUUCCACCCGUGUUCACACACGUCCUUCCACCAGCAAAGCCUCAGUGUCACAUCAAGAGGCACAGACUCCCUGCUGUGCAGACCUCUUGUUAUCAAGAGAUUGUUGAAAAAACACAGCGCAGUUGCAAGGACUUAUCCCUGGAUGUAAAUAUGUUUCAAAUUAAAGCAGAACUAGAAAUGACUGCAACAUAAAGAAAGCUCUGCUGACUGGAAAAUCUGGUAAACUCAUGUCUUUUCCAGAUAUAUCUAUCGCAUCGUAUUUUUAAAUGACCGGUUUUGUGUUUUUCAGCUGCACAGUCUCCAGUUUGUGUUCCCGGCUGUAAGUAUAAUAGGAUUUUUUUUUAAGUCUUCAGCUUCAGGCAUUUUUUUUUCUCCUUUUCUUCCUUACAUCUCCCUCGCUAGCAUUAGAAUGACUAUACUUCCUUAACACUAUCUGCUACUUUUUAAUCUUGAAUUCAUAACUUCCGAUAGCCUGGAUAUGGUUUCUCUUAGAGAGAGCGCCUUAGAAAAAUUAUGUGUAAAUACUGCAGCGCUGACUGGGGUUUCACGUCUCUGUAUUUAUGCCUUGUAUAUACUCUCGGCUCCCGAUCUGCUUGCUUGCCAGCGUGAUUGAUUGGCUGUGUACUGAGGGAUGUUUAUAACAGCGGGCAGGUACUGUACGCGAACACGGACGCCAACACCCGAGGGCACGGAGCGGAGCGCUGCUGCCGCGUUCCUGCGGCUCCGAGGCCGCAUCACCGGCACCGAUCCCGUGCUUCAUCGGUGGGGAGGUUUUCCAUUCCUCCUCCGCAGCAAACGGAACCAGCCCAGAGCAGACAGCGGCCGGCGGCGGCGGGGGUGGGAGAGAAGAUCAGUAAUAACAACAACCGACAACGAAAGGAAACAAAAGUGGGAGAAGGGAGAGAGAAGGAAAAAAAAAAAAACAACGUUGCAACUGUCACCGUUUUGCAAGCGUCAGAUUAGCGCUUUGUCAUAACGUGACCACACUGUUUCCGAUAGGUUUUCCAACCCGUAAUCGUUUGUAACGUCUCAGCUUUGAAUCGGGAAAGCAAAAUAAAAAGCAAAAACACUCUGAUGCUUUGGGUUUAAAAUGCUUUCUAGAGUGGGGAAAGUGGAGGUUUCUAUUUUCUUGCGGCAGUGAGAAGCGAAAUAGCCGCGUUUUACCACUUGGAAUAACGCCAUAAUCUUGACGAAGGGAUUCAAACAUUUAAAGAUAACAGAUGCGCUGUAGCCCGACGGAGCGGUGCCCGCCUCGUCACGCUCUUCCCUUUCUCAAGGUCAGCUCUGAGCAAGCGGUAGCUCCGCUCGUACGCGUCGCGCAGCGCACACUGCACCGCGGUGGCAGACACGGAGCUAAUCCAAUCCUUACCUCAGUUUUCAACGUUUUCUUUUGCAUCGAUAAAAUCGAACCGCUUUAGAACCGUAUCCACGGCAACAACGCACAGGCUGAGCUAGCGGCAAGCACCUUGCCUCUCUGCUGCUUUACUCUUGAAAGGAACGUUCGAAUUAAGCGGUGAUAACGCCAAGGGGCCCACUUCGGGAAAUUCACGGGGUCGGUUCUCAGCAGCAUACCGAAGGGAGAAAGAAAAAAAAAAAAAAAGGAAGGAAAGAAGAACGGAGGACGGAAGGAAGAGAGCCGCCGUUUGGGGCGGCCCUGGCUCCGCUCCUCUCGUCACCGUGACCCCAACCCACCCCUCGGCAAAGCUCCCAGCCGUCAUGCCUCAUCUACACGAAGGCACAGCUCCAGAGCGGGGAAUUCCAUUUCCUAAUUAAAAUCUCGUCAG